rnacentral:rRNA from 1 species
GACGAACGCUGGCGGCGUGCUUAACACAUGCAAGUCGAGCGGUAAGGCCCUUUCGGGGGUACACGAGCGGCGAACGGUGAGUAACACGUGGGUGACCUGCCCUUAGCUCUGGGAUAAGCCUGGGAAACUGGGUCUAAUACCGGAUAUGACUCCAUGACGCAUGUUGUGGGGUGGAAAGCCUUGUGCGGCUAGGGAUGGGCCCGCGGCCUAUCAGCUUGUUGGUGGGGUGAUGGCCUACCAAGGCGACGACGGGUAGCCGGCCUGAGAGGGCGACCGGCCACACUGGGACUGAGACACGGCCCAGACUCCUACGGGAGGCAGCAGUGGGGAAUCUUGCGCAAUGGGCGAAAGCCUGACGCAGCGACGCCGCGUGGGGA